AGUGCAAUUCUGUCCUAUCUGUGGAAUGACCUUUCUGAGUGUUCUAAUAUCCAAAUAGGGACCUGGUAUCCAGACUUCUGUGCUUAAUUAUGACCCAAUGGAUUAGUACCAGAAAAGAAACCAACCUCUUAGUUUCAUACCUGUCUGUUUCACUCUGAUAUCACUUAGUUCAAUACAAGCCCUUAGGAGGGAGUUCGGGAAGAGAAGGAUUUCGAAUCCAAAGGUCUAGUGCUAAGCCUUAUAUAGAAGGAGGAGUCUCAGAGCCCAAGCCUGGAUUGGAAGUUUCUGUCUUUAUUGGUGUUAGGGGGUGAGUUCCAUUCGGAUGCUGACUACGAUUAGUCUACUAUACUAGAUCAUAUCACUGCAACUAUUAGUCUGAUGGUUAGUACUGUAAGACUUAGGUAGGAGGGGCUAGUGUCAGGAAUUCCAGUAAGUAGUAACAGAGCUAAAGGGGCAAGUUCUAAUUCAAAACAGGAGCGCCGGAGACAAAUACAACAGAUAUGAGAUCGGGAGCGGAAGAG
rnacentral:lncRNA from 1 species